UACAGAGACUGCGAGCGUUAUUCGGAUUCACUGGGCGUAAAGGGUGCGCAGGCGGCCGAGUGUGUGAGGCGUGAAAGCUCGGGGCUUAACCCCGGAAUUGCACCUCAAACUACACGGCUAGAGCAUUGGAGAGGGUAGCGGAAUUCACGGUGUAGCAGUGAAAUGCGUAGAUAUCAGGAAGAACACCCGUGGCUAAGGCGGCUCUCUAGUACGGUACUGACGCUGAGACGCGAAAGCGUGGGGAGCGAACAGG
rnacentral:rRNA from 1 species